rnacentral:lncRNA from 1 species
UGAAGUGGUACCUUCUUUAGAAAGAGAAGAACCUUUAACAAGGAAGAAAAGGGCCAACCUGCAGCGAGAUUUGGAGAAGGGAAACAGCAUUUGCAGGACAUCCACUCAACUCUAGGCUUCGUGCCAGGCGGCUUAAGUAUAUGAUCACAGCCUCGGCUUGGGAGGGGCCUGAGGGCCUAAUGAACAGCCUGGUACAGCCUAGGACAUCCUGGGAAGUUCUGGAAAUACUGACUCCAAGCAGGUCAAGUGUGGAGUAGUUUUCUACCAGGACAUAGUUAACAACCCAUAAAGGUCUCUGCUUAAGUAAGAAGUCCAUUUCUGUGAACCAUAACCCAGAUGUAGCAACGCCAGACUGUCUCCUAUCAAAAUUUAUUGAAAUGGUAGAUUUUUGUGUGGUGUAGUUUUCUACCAGGACAUAGUUAAUAACCCAUAAAGGUCUCUGCUUAAGUAAGAAGUCCAUUUCUGUGAACCAUAACCCAGAUAUAGCAACGCCAGACUGUCUCCUAUCAAAAUUUAUUGAAAUGGUAGAUUUUUGGUAAGUACAGAAACACAAGCGAAGGAACCAGGAGGAACGUGCACCCCUCUACCCGUGGGGCAGAGGCACGUUUCCCUUUUAAUGGUAAAAGCAAACAGGUGGGAAACAGCUUUCUAUCCUGAAGCCGUUUUAACUGCUCAACCCUUAGAUUACUAUAAACAAGAGAGGAAUGGAUUGCAUUAGUCGCUGGUUGAAAGCAGCAAUGCCAUUUCCUUUCCCAUAAUAACACUGUUUAGCUCAGUCCCUUCUGGGGCUAAUCCCCUAUUACACCCACCGGAAACACAGAUAUUAACCAAAGCGUGUGAGUCUCUUCCCUGAGUCCAUUUCUGCUAAAGAUUGUCUGAAAGAUGAAUUGGUCCACGGAAGCCAGGUGACCUACUGGCUUGUUUAGUGAUGCCUGGGCUUCCUCCAGGAGCAACACAAUUCCCUCCAAUCUCAGCUCUCCUUAUCCCUGCUGGAGCUCACAAGCAGGCUAGAUAUCACCCCAGGAGCUGAGCCCCCCCCAGUCUCAGGCAGAUGUGGGAAGAAGGCCAACAAGUCACAAGUAGAUCUCUGGCUCCAACUGUGCUCAGCAGAAACGCCUACAAUUUGCCCAUCUUCAGUCCUGCGAGCGUCAGAGAUGAAGCAAAAGUUUCAGAUGCCUAGAAGCUUUACUCUCUGUUCCUCCAGGAUUCCUGCGGUCACACCUUGCAACCAGUCUCCCACUCAUCUGCCACAGUUUCCCUAAAUCAGAUUCUCUGAAUCUGGAAGUUCCAGGAAAUCUUAGGCCGAGUCCAGUGACAUUACUCGAUGCAACAGCCCAACUGUUUCUCCAGAGAUCCUGGUUCUUGGUGACAAUGUCCCUUCUUGGCAUGGUUAUUUGAGGUUGGGCCCAGAUAAGAGGGGCUCCAUGGCUCACCGGAGUUGGCCAUUAACGCCUCUGGAGCGCCUCUGGUUUUGUUGGGGUCCCCCGUGAGCUCGACGCUCGUGCUACGGUUAUUAUCUGGCUCACCUGUCAUCUUCCUCUGGAGGCAGCGGUUGAUCAAAGUGGAGAAGAAGUUGGGAAAGGAUGGGCUGGAGAAGUAGUACACCACGGGGUCCAGCAUGCUGUUCAUGUAGGUGAAGCUGAGAGUGAUAAAGAACGCCAGGUCCACCGAGCGGUACACUUCACAAUUCUGCGUGCCCGAAGUGUGCAGGAGCCAGAAGAUG